AAUCAACGCUGGCGGCGUGCCUCAGACAUGCAAGUCGAACGAUUAAAGCUCCCUUCGGGGAGUGCAUAAAGUGGCGCACGGGUGAGUAACACGUAAGUAAUCUACCCUCGGGUGGGGAAUAACGUUCGGAAACGGACGCUAAUACCGCAUAAUGCAGCGGCACCGCAAGGUGACAGUUGUUAAAGAUUUAUUGCCUGGGGAGGAGCUUGCGGCAGAUUAGCUUGUUGGAAGGUAACGGCUUACCAAGGCUACGAUCUGUAUCCGGUCUAAGAGGACGGUCGGACACACUGACACUGAAUAACGGGUCAGACUCCUACGGGAGGCAGCAGUCGGGAAUUUUGGGCAAUGGGGGAAACCCUGACCCAGCAACGCCGCGUGAAGGAUGAAGUAUUUCGGUAUGUAAACUUCGAAAGAAUAGGAAGAAUUAAUGACGGUACUAUUUAUAAGGUCCGGCUAACUACGUGCCAGCCGCCG
rnacentral:rRNA from 1 species